rnacentral:RNase_P_RNA from 1 species
UAAGAUGGUCGUGCAGCUUGCGUGUUGCGGUAUGUUUAUGCCUUGAUAACACGAGGAAAGUCCGGACUCCAUAUAGACACAGUGCUGGUUAACGGCCAGCGGAGAUGAUAGAUUAAAAUAUUGUCUUCAGGGAAAGUGCAACAGAAAUUAAACCGCCAUGUUUUCAUGGUAAGGGUGAAAUGGUGAGGUAAGAGCUUACCGGACUUUUGGUAACAAAAGUCGUCAAUGCAAACCCCACUGGGAGCAAGACCAAAUAGGUGCAGAUUCUUUGUGAAUUUAGCAAAGCUGGUUUGUCUAUAGCUAGUUUAUUUGCACGGGUAGGUCGCUUGAGGUAAAUGGUAACAUUUGCCCUAGAUAAAUAGCUGCAGAUAGUUGUAAAGCUAUUACAGAAUCCGGCUUACAGAUCAUCUUACUUA